AAAUUGAAGAGUUUGAUCAUGGCUCAGAUUGAACGCUGGCGGCAGGCCUAACACAUGCAAGUCGAGCGGUAGCACAGAGAGCUUGCUCUCGGGUGACGAGCGGCGGACGGGUGAGUAAUGUCUGGGAAACUGCCUGAUGGAGGGGGGAUAACUACUGGAAACGGUAGCUAAUACCGCAUAACGUCGCAAGACCAAAGUGGGGGACCUUCGGGCCUCAUGCCAUCAGAUGUGCCCAGAUGGGAUUAGCUAGUAGGUGGGGUAACGGCUCACCUAGGCGACGAUCCCUAGCUGGUCUGAGAGGAUGACCAGCCACACUGGAACUGAGACACGGUCCAGACUCCUACGGGAGGCAGCAGUGGGGAAUAUUGCACAAUGGGCGCAAGCCUGAUGCAGCCAUGCCGCGUGUGUGAAGAAGGCCUUCGGGUUGUAAAGCACUUUCAGCGGGGAGGAAGGCGGUGAGGUUAAUAACCUCACCGAUUGACGUUACCCGCAGAAGAAGCACCGGCUAACUCCGUGCCAGCAGCCGCGGUAAUACGGAGGGUGCAAGCGUUAAUCGGAAUUACUGGGCGUAAAGCGCACGCAGGCGGUCUGUCAAGUCGGAUGUGAAAUCCCCGGGCUCAACCUGGGAACUGCAUUCGAAACUGGCAGGCUAGAGUCUUGUAGAGGGGGGUAGAAUUCCAGGUGUAGCGGUGAAAUGCGUAGAGAUCUGGAGGAAUACCGGUGGCGAAGGCGGCCCCCUGGACAAAGACUGACGCUCAGGUGCGAAAGCGUGGGGAGCAAACAGGAUUAGAUACCCUGGUAGUCCACGCCGUAAACGAUGUCGAUUUGGAGGUUGUGCCCUUGAGGCGUGGCUUCCGGAGCUAACGCGUUAAAUCGACCGCCUGGGGAGUACGGCCGCAAGGUUAAAACUCAAAUGAAUUGACGGGGGCCCGCACAAGCGGUGGAGCAUGUGGUUUAAUUCGAUGCAACGCGAAGAACCUUACCUGGUCUUGACAUCCACAGAACUUUCCAGAGAUGGAUUGGUGCCUUCGGGAACUGUGAGACAGGUGCUGCAUGGCUGUCGUCAGCUCGUGUUGUGAAAUGUUGGGUUAAGUCCCGCAACGAGCGCAACCCUUAUCCUUUGUUGCCAGCGGUCCGGCCGGGAACUCAAAGGAGACUGCCAGUGAUAAACUGGAGGAAGGUGGGGAUGACGUCAAGUCAUCAUGGCCCUUACGACCAGGGCUACACACGUGCUACAAUGGCAUAUACAAAGAGAAGCGACCUCGCGAGAGCAAGCGGACCUCAUAAAGUAUGUCGUAGUCCGGAUUGGAGUCUGCAACUCGACUCCAUGAAGUCGGAAUCGCUAGUAAUCGUAGAUCAGAAUGCUACGGUGAAUACGUUCCCGGGCCUUGUACACACCGCCCGUCACACCAUGGGAGUGGGUUGCAAAAGAAGUAGGUAGCUUAACCUUCGGGAGGGCGCUUACCACUUUGUGAUUCAUGACUGGGGUGAAGUCGUAACAAGGUAACCGUAGGGGAACCUGCGGUUGGAUCACCUCCUUACCUUAAAGAA
rnacentral:rRNA from 1 species